rnacentral:lncRNA from 1 species
GCACCGCCAGGUUGGCUGAGUCCAUGCCAAAGAGGAUCAUAUAGCUCUGAGGGUGUCCCCAGCUUGAUCUCCCCAGAGUAAUACAUUUGGGGAGAGAGAUUCAGCCACUGAAGGCUAUUUAAUCCCAGGGACAGGAGCUCACUGGGGAAAAUGGCCAGCACCAGCCCACUGGACCAGAGAGACAAGGAGCCUCAAAGGAUCGCUGGCAACUCUGCAAGGAAUGACCAUCCCUGGAGAAACGGGAGCCCAGAGAGACCCAGAGAGUGACUCACCUGGUGAAGCAAGACAAGUGGCGAGGCCGGGCAUGGUGGCUCACACUUUUAAUCCCAGCACUUUGGGAGGCCAAGGCAGGUGGAUCACCUAAGGUCAGUUCAAGACCAG